GACGAACGCUGGCGGCGUGCUUAACACAUGCAAGUCGAACGCUGAAGCUCAGCUUGCUGGGUGGAUGAGUGGCGAACGGGUGAGUAACACGUGAGUAACCUGCCCUCUUCUUUGGGAUAACGCCCGGAAACGGGUGCUAAUACUGGAUAUUCACUGAUUCUCGCAUGGGGGUUGGUGGAAAGGUUUUUUCUGGUGGGGGAUGGGCUCGCGGCCUAUCAGCUUGUUGGUGGGGUGAUGGCCUACCAAGGCUUUGACGGGUAGCCGGCCUGAGAGGGUGACCGGUCACGUUGGGACUGAGAUACGGCCCAGACUCCUACGGGAGGCAGCAGUGGGGAAUAUUGCACAAUGGGCGAAAGCCUGAUGCAGCGACGCCGCGUGAGGGAUGGAGGCCUUCGGGUUGUAAACCUCUUUCGCUCAUGGUCAAGCCGCAGCUUUGGGUUGUGGUGAGGGUAGUGGGUAAAGAAGCGCCGGCUAACUACGUG
rnacentral:rRNA from 1 species